ensembl:lncRNA
UUUAAUUUCCUCAAAAAGAGCAGGAGGAAGAGGAGGAGGCGAGAAGUGGUUCCUCCUUUAAAAGUCGCAAGCUUGCACCGCGGGACUGAGAGGUACCCAGCGGCACGGCUUCAUUGCUCCAGACCACCACAAGGAGGAGUUAGAGCACUCAUUAUGCAUUUGGGUCCCAAGGUUUUUAUUGAGUGGUUCCAAUGAUGAAUUUGACACUAGCCACCCAUCCCUGGUGGCCUUCUUCAGCAAAGAUGUCUGACAAAACAUUACGGUGGAAGCAGAUGUAAGUAGUUAUAACGUGUCAAGUAAAAACUGUACAAUUGAGAGGAUUUUUAAAAUAUAUUUUAACCUUUAUUUAACUAGGCAAGUCAGUUAAGAACAAAUUCUUAUUUUCAAUGAUGGCCUAGGAACAGCAGGUUAACUGCCUGUUCAGGGGCAGAACAACAGAUUUGUACCUUGUCAGCUUGGGGAUUUGAACUUGGAACCUUUCGGUUACUAGUCCAACACUCUAACCACUAGGCUACCCUGCCAAAUAUGUUAGUUAAUGUAGAGACAAACAUUUGUGCCUUUUUUUUGCCAUAAAGUUAAUUUACAAAAAUUCUAUUUAGCCAGUUCUAACUAGCUAACAUUAGCCAGCUAGCUAGUGUAAGGAGAACGAAUUUGUAAUUUGUGUUGUUUGUUUUAGGAACUCCUGAGAACCAGCAAACCAGGCUGUCAUCUUGUGAAACAGUGGAUGAAACAGUGGAUGUAAAGAAUCAAGCUUUUUCUUUUUUUUACUGCAAAUUGAAUGUACUAUUGUGUAAGCUUGCCUUGCAAUGCAGCUGAAGUAACAAAGCUGACUAUUGACUUGCUUAUUGUGUAGUGGAGGAUGAAAAUAACUGUAUGCCUAUAGAUGUGUAGCUAGCUACAGUAUGUAGCCAAUCUGUGUAUGGACCCUUAAACGUUAGAUUCUGAACUAAUAUUCAUACCAAUCUAUAAACCUCAGCUAUCAUAGUUGUUGUAUCAACUUCAAGUCUGAAUGGCAUUAGUGAAGCCUAUGGAUAGAGUAGAAUAUAAUAACUUUAUUGUGCCAAGGAUGCAAGUCCUAUAUACAUGUACUGUAGUUAUUAUCACUCAUGAGGUUCCCACAUUGUAGCCUGUAAUCACUGAUCGUGUAGUCUUCCU